rnacentral:rRNA from 1 species
ACCUACGGGAGGCAGCAGUGGGGAAUAUUGCACAAUGGGCGAAAGCCUGAUGCAGCGACGCCGCGUGAGGGAUGACGGCCUUCGGGUUGUAAACCUCUUUCAGCAGGGAAGAAGCGAAAGUGACGGUACCUGCAGAAGAAGCGCCGGCUAACUACGUGCCAGCAGCCGCGGUAAUACGUAGGGCGCGAGCGUUGUCCGGAAUUAUUGGGCGUAAAGAGCUCGUAGGCGGCUUGUCACGUCGGUUGUGAAAGCCCGGGGCUUAACCCCGGGUCUGCAGUCGAUACGGGCAGGCUAGAGUUCGGUAGGGGAGAUCGGAAUUCCUGGUGUAGCGGUGAAAUGCGCAGAUAUCAGGAGGAACACCGGUGGCGAAGGCGGAUCUCUGGGCCGAUACUGACGCUGAGGAGCGAAAGCGUGGGGAGCGAACAGGAUUAGAUACCCUGGUAGUCCACGCCGUAAACGGUGGGCACUAGGUGUGGGCGACAUUCCACGUCGUCCGUGCCGCAGCUAACGCAUUAAGUGCCCCGCCUGGGGAGUACGGCCGCA